UGGGGAAUAUUGCACAAUGGGCGCAAGCCUGAUGCAGCCAUGCCGCGUGUAUGAAGAAGGCCUUCGGGUUGUAAAGUACUUUCAGCGGGGAGGAAGGGAGUAAAGUUAAUACCUUUGCUCAUUGACGUUACCCGCAGAAGAAGCACCGGCUAACUCCGUGCCAGCAGCCGCGGUAAUACGGAGGGUGCAAGCGUUAAUCGGAAUUACUGGGCGUAAAGCGCACGCAGUCGGUUUGUUAAGUCAGAUGUGAAAUCCCCGGGCUCAACCUGGGAACUGCAUCUGAUACUGGCAAGCUUGAGUCUCGUAGAGGGGGGUAGAAUUCCAGGUGUAGCGGUGAAAUGCGUAGAGAUCUGGAGGAAUACCGGUGGCGAAGGCGGCCCCCUGGACGAAGACUGACGCUCAGGUGCGAAAGCGUGGGGAGCAAACAGG
rnacentral:rRNA from 1 species